GGAUAUGAGGCUAAACCACUGGAAGCAAUGUCAGCCCAUUGAUCACCUGGGUUGAUCUGGCUGAUCUGUUUGGCUAGGCUGGUGUCCCCCUCCUCCCUCACCACUCCAUGUGUGUCCUUCAAGAAACUGUGCACUAGAUUGAAGAUGACAACUUUCCCUGAAUAGAGACAGACCUGUCUUCAGUCAAAGAUCUGUGCUCCCCUGCUAGAACCUCCAAGUAAACUUUCCAAGCCAGCAUUGCAGUGCACCAUAUGGAAGCACUUUUUCUUCUAGCGUU
rnacentral:snRNA from 1 species